GAUGAACGCUGGCGGCGUGCUUAACACAUGCAAGUCGAACGGUGAACCCGGAGCUUGCUCUGUGGGAUCAGUGGCGAACGGGUGAGUAACACGUGAGCAACCUGCCCCUGACUCUGGGAUAAGCGCUGGAAACGGCGGCUAAUACUGGAUAUGUGACGUGACCGCAUGGUCUGCGUUGGGAAAGAUUGUGCGGUUGGGGAUGGGCUCGCGGCCUAUCAGCUUGUUGGUGGGGUAAUGGCUCACCAAGGCGUCGACGGGUAGCCGGCCUGAGAGGGUGACCGGCCACAUUGGGACUGAGAUACGGCCCAGACUCCUACGGGAGGCAGCAGUGGGGAAUAUUGCACAAUGGGCGGAAGCCUGAUGCAGCAACGCCGCGUGCGGGAUGACGGCCUUCGGGUUGUAAACCUCUUUCGCCUGGGACGAAGCGAGAGUGACGGUACCUGGUGAAAAAGCGCCGGCUAACUACGUG
rnacentral:rRNA from 1 species